rnacentral:misc_RNA from 1 species
GAUAGCAGUCACCAUGGAAACGGCACGCCGGAGGCUGCACAGCAGAAAAACGCAUACGUUUCGGCCCAACAUAACGUAAAAUUUAAUAGAAAUCUCACCCUUUCGGCAACCAGGCUCAGCAGAAAAUACGGAAGACUGGUUAGACGGACAGAAGACCUGGAAAAUUGGCCCUUACUGGAAAUUCAGAGAGCAGCAGAACUCGGAAGAAAGAGGCGGAGCGAAGACGGCAACUCUAGAGACAGCCCGAGGCAGAUGGAGCUCCAGCAAAACUUUGAGGAUUUUGAGGAUAGAGGGUCAGUUGGAGAGUCGGAGGCGUUGGGGACGCUGACAGGCGGCAGUUCAGUUGGAGUUGGAGAGCUGGGAAGUGGAGUUCAGAGGUGGGCGAUACGGUCAGUUUGUAGCGGCAGGAUGGAGAAGAACAGGCGAUGGAGGUAGUGAGUUCGAGCGGAGAGGAGAGUUUGAGAGGAGGAGUCGGCGGUGAUAGUUCUGGAGGAGGAGGAUGGAGGACUGCCUGUCACUGGAGGACUCUGCGCCGCUCCGCCGUUCUGCCGCCCGCCACCACCGCUCCGCGGGCUGCCGCCAACUCUGCCACCCGUCCGUCGUCGCUGUGCCGCCCGCCCGCCGAUAAAUCUGCUACCAGCCGGCCGUCAGCCCUGUCGUCCACAGCCAACAGCUAAGCGGACUUAACUGGCGUCGUCCCAGCGGUAGUGGACGGGGCAGCCGCCAUCACCACCGCCGUUCUGACUGUACCAGAACAACAGCGGCGGACCGAGACAGCAGAGCGGCACCGUGCGGCCACUUCGGAACGGGGUGUAAUAUUGUUCGAGUGACCAGACUCUGUCCCCUGUCUGCCCGGUCUCCGACACACCGGGCCUUUGGACUACAGCACUACACUAUAACUUUUCGGCAGAAGCUGACAGACACGAGAAUGGGAAAUCAACAAGCUUCUGGGAACACAAUGAUAGCUAAAGGUUCAUAUGAAUGGAGACCGUCCCUCGGGUGACCGUCCGAUACUGAAAGCGACUCCCCAUCAUUUAGCACCAGCCUGACCACUGGAGGAGCUCCUGUCCUGCUGGCACCGCCGGCGGUCGCCGUGCUGCCAACGCGGAGCGUGACGCGGAGGUGGCGCGCCUUCUGGUACAGUCCGGGGCGCGGAUUGACCUACAAAACGAGGCGGAGCGCCCGCCGCUGCAGAUGGCGCCACCGGGGCUGGCCAGCGACCUCCAGCAGCUGGCGCCGCCCUCGGUGGAGCUCACCGCUGGCACAGAUGGCAGCACCGUCGACCCCCGACGCCAGUGCAUCUCGAACCGCAAGACCGCUGUCUAUCUCGUCCCGUCAGUGCAGUUCGCAGCGCCAUCUGUGAAACUCCGUUGGUAUAGAUGGCACCACCGUCGACUGGGUACCGGCGCCAGCGUAUCUCGAGUUGACCGAUCGUGCUCUCUGAAUCUGAGGCAUACUGGCAUAGCCCACCUAGUGGGCAGUGUCGAGAUACCACGAGGGUGUAGGAGCAUCCGUGGAUGUAAUCGCGCUUGUAUUUUGUUGUGAUGUCCACUCACAAACACUGUCAUGGCGGAAACUCUGGCGUAUCGAUAUUGGUACUUCCAUCUCGAGAUCGUUGAUGAACCGCUUACCCAUGGCAGGGUCGGUUGUCUCAACCGGUGUAUGCAUAGAAAUGGUGUAUGUGUGCUGCAUUUCGUAGGUAGGACUCGUGUGCUGGCUGGAUAACCGUGCCUCGUCGG